rnacentral:rRNA from 1 species
CACUUACAGAUGGACCCGCGGCGCAUUAGCUAGUUGGUGAGGUAACGGCUCACCAAGGCGACGAUGCGUAGCCGACCUGAGAGGGUGAUCGGCCACACUGGGACUGAGACACGGCCCAGACUCCUACGGGAGGCAGCAGUAGGGAAUCUUCCGCAAUGGACGAAAGUCUGACGGAGCAACGCCGCGUGAGUGAUGAAGGUUUUCGGAUCGUAAAGCUCUGUUGUUAGGGAAGAACAAGUGC